rnacentral:tRNA from 1 species
UGUAUAAAAGUGUUUGAUGCACAUGAAUUUUUGAAUUUCAUAGUUUAAGUUUAAUUCUUAAUUAUACAG